AGUGAGGCAGCAAAUGACAGACUAAUCCACUUUCUGAAGCUUGGAUUACCCCAGGAAAACAUCAGUAACAUUUUAGGUGUCACUCAUACAACUAUCAUUCGUUGGAUGAGAGAAUGUGUUUGGCCAGAGACAGAAUCCAAUAAUUAACCCUGAGAUGGAAUAUUCAGACUCAAUGGCAGUUGAACAAGAUGGUGGAGAUGCUGACCAUGUUCACUUUGCAGUCAACGUGCCUGUAAUUCACAGGCCACAACUCACAAAUGAGCAAAUUGACCCACUGCAAGUGUCUGAUUCAUUUGGAGUAGAUGUAUACCUCAAGACUCUCACAUAUGUACAGACUUUGAUUGAAUAAAGGGAUAUUUGAAGGUUUAUUUCUGCUGCUCUAAUUUUGACAGCAAGGUUGUAAAUGUGUAUAUAUAGUUGUAUCUUAAGUAAAACUUGUGGAAACAACCUUUUAAGACAUGUAAAAUAAUUAAAUUUAUUUUAAAAUGUUA